GUAGUAGCCCGCUCUUUUAUUAUAUUUAAAUCCAAUAAUACGAUAAUUAUUAUUUAAUCUUUCAGUAAAUCAAGCCCAGUAAUUAUUUAUGAUUUAAAUUCAGCUUAUGACACUGGAUUAUAUUCUAAUUGAAGCAGGGUUAUUAUUUUUUUUUUCACUAAGCCAGUUAGAUUCGCGUGAGUAAAACCGCGAUGAGAAUUAUUUAGUAAACCAAUAAUUAUUCAUUUCAGAUUCAUAACUGACUUAGCUAAGUCAUGUUAUUUAUUAAUCACAAUAAAAUUAUUUUUCUAUUUUUAUUAUUAUUUCUUGAGUCGUGAAUUUAUUCCGGCUUGUGAAAAAUUAAAUCUACGUUAUUAAUUUAGAUAUUAUUCCGUGUAUUAAAUCUAGCACGCCAUGCUCCCUCAGCCACUCUAUUUAUAUAUGCUCACCCGUGCUUAGCUUUUCUUUUUCUUCUCCUACAUAGUCAAAAAAAGGAAUUCAGCAAACAAAUCUCAAGAAUGUCAACAGCAAAUCUCAUCUUUAAUUCUUCAACCACGCUCAACAAUCCAGCCGUACUAUUCAUCAUCUGUUCACACUAAUCAGCUCUCCAUAAGUUCAGUAUAAAGCAUAGCAAAUCUACUCCUUCCAUCAAGAAAUCACCAAGCAUAACCUUCUCAUACCCAUUCCACACUUAAACGUCUUCAUCAUUCUCUGCCAAAGUAAUUUUCAAGUAUCAAUUUAAUUCAAUAUUCAGCAAUCCAAUCAAGCAUCAUUCAAGGUAUUUCAUGCUAUCUCAGUUCACUCUCUUCAUAUACAUAUAUCAUAUCUCAGUAGAGCAUGCUUCAUAUAUUAGAAAUGCAGUAGAUAAUAAGCAUGAUUAAUUAGUUACAUGGCACUCUGUAUUCACAAGCGAAUAGAGAAAAGAACACCAGAACUCAGAAAACAAAUACAGACAUAGCAUACGCAUACACAUAAAGUAUUAAGUUCUGUUUUUCUUACGCAAAAAGGGUCCAUAGACAUUUAUACCAUAUCGAUGAUUAAGAAUCAAGGCAUAUAUAACUUAGCUUUUAGAAAGACAUCGAACGCGGCCCUGCGCAGUCGAGCCGCAACAACGGCAACUUCCUACGGCCUCAUCGGAGCCCGAGAACGACAGCAGCGGCUGCCGAGGCUCCAGCUGGCGACGGUGGCGGCAACUCCAGACGGCGGCGGACUCCUCGGCGACGGCUGGCAGAAUUACGCCGGCGUCAGAGGGACGCGAGGAUGAUGGUGCUGUUCGCCGGUCUCGCUGCGACGACGGCAGAUUUGUGACAGCAGAAGGCCGCGACUCCAUGAACAGCAGCAGUCGGCGCGACUCCAUGAACAGCAGC
rnacentral:lncRNA from 1 species